rnacentral:rRNA from 1 species
GACGAACGCUGGCGGCGUGCUUAACACAUGCAAGUCGAACGGAAAGGCCCUGCUUUUGUGGGGUGCUCGAGUGGCGAACGGGUGAGUAACACGUGAGUAACCUGCCCUUGACUUUGGGAUAACUUCAGGAAACUGGGGCUAAUACCGGAUAGGAGCUCCUGCUGCAUGGUGGGGGUUGGAAAGUUUCGGCGGUUGGGGAUGGACUCGCGGCUUAUCAGCUUGUUGGUGGGGUAGUGGCUUACCAAGGCUUUGACGGGUAGCCGGCAUGAGAGGGUGACCGGCCACAUUGGGACUGAGAUACGGCCAAGACUCCUACGGGAGGCAGCAGUGGGGAAUAUUGAACAAUGGGCGGAAGCCUGAUGCAGCAACGCCGCGUGCGGGAUGACGGCCUUCGGGUUGUAAACCGCUUUCGCCUGUGACGAAGCGUGAGUGACGGUAAUGGGUAAAGAAGCACCGGCUAACUACGUG